GACGAACGCUGGCGGCAUGCCUAACACAUGCAAGUCGAGCGAGUAGAUCCCUUCGGGGUGAAGCUAGCGGCGGACGGGUGAGUAACACGUGGGCAACCUGCCUCAUAGAGGGGAAUAGCCUUCCGAAAGGAAGAUUAAUACCGCAUAAGAUUGUAGUACCGCAUGGUAUAGCAAUUAAAGGAGCAAUCCGCUAUGAGAUGGGCCCGCGGCGCAUUAGCUAGUUGGUGAGGUAACGGCUCACCAAGGCGACGAUGCGUAGCCGACCUGAGAGGGUGAUCGGCCACAUUGGGACUGAGACACGGCCCAGACUCCUACGGGAGGCAGCAGUGGGGAAUAUUGCACAAUGGGGGAAACCCUGAUGCAGCAAUGCCGCGUGAGUGAUGACGGCCUUCGGGUUGUAAAGCUCUGUCUUCGGGGACGAUAAUGACGGUACCCGAGGAGGAAGCCACGGCUAACUACGUGCCAGCCGCCGCCGUAA
rnacentral:rRNA from 1 species